UACAGAGGUCUCAAGCGUUGUUCGGAUUCAUUGGGCGUAAAGGGUGCGUAGGCGGCUCGGUAAGUCGGGUGUGAAAUCUUGGAGCUUAACUCCGAAACUGCAUUCGAUACUGCCGUGCUUGAGGACUGGAGAGGAGACUGGAAUUUACGGUGUAGCGGUGAAAUGCGUAGAUAUCGUAAGGAAGACCAGUGGCGAAGGCGGGUCUCUGGACAGUUCCUGACGCUGAAGCACGAAGGCCAGGGGAGCAAACGGG
rnacentral:rRNA from 1 species